rnacentral:rRNA from 1 species
UAAAACGACUCUCGGCAACGGAUAUCUCGGCUCUUGCAUCGAUGAAGAACGUAGCGAAAUGCGAUACGUGGUGUGAAUUGCAGAAUCCCGUGAACCAUCGAGUUUUUGAACGCAAGUUGCGCCCAAAGCCUUUUGGUUGAGGGCACGUCUGCCUGGG